CAGACCAAGGCUGUGGUAGAUGGAGG
rnacentral:piRNA from 1 species